AAGCGGAAAAGGGAAAGGCUUAGUGGCGGACGGGUGAGUAACGCGUGGGUAACCUGGCCCAUACAGGGGGAUAACACUUAGAAAUAGGUGCUAAUACCGCAUAACAACAGAAAGCGCAUGCUUUUUGUUUGAAAACCAAGGUGGUAUGGGAUGGACCCGCGUCUGAUUAGCCGGUUGGCGGGGUAAAGGCCCACCAAGGCGACGAUCAGUAGCCGGCCUGAGAGGGUGGACGGCCACAUUGGGACUGAGACACGGCCCAAACUCCUACGGAAGGCAGCAG
rnacentral:rRNA from 1 species